rnacentral:tRNA from 1 species
CCCCGCUUAGCUCAACGGUAGAGCGUUCGGCUGUAGACCGAAAGGUUGCUGGUUCAAAUCCGGCAGCGGGGA